rnacentral:rRNA from 1 species
AUCGUACCCCAAACCGACACAGGUGGUCAGGUAGAGAAUACCAAGGCGCUUGAGAGAACUCGGAUGAAGGAACUAGGCAAAAUGGUGCCGUAACUUCGGGAGAAGGCACGCUGAUACGUAGGUGAAGUCCCUUGCGGAUGGAGCUGAAAUCAGUCGAAGAUACCAGCUGGCUGCAACUGUUUAUUAAAAACACAGCACUGUGCAAACACGAAAGUGGACGUAUACGGUGUGACGCCUGCCCGGU